CAUGGCUCCUUUGAGACCACAGGAAAGUGGCUUUAGUUUUCCUCUCGUCAGCCUUGGCUGGGAGCAUAGCACUCUGAUGGCAUUGCUGUCUCUGAUCAGAUGUUCUUUUUGAUCUGUUUCUGCUGUGACAUGGAGCCUUCCCUCCUGUCUCCAGAACUCUCCCUCCAUGUCCUUUAUGCAGUGUUUGAGAGCAUGUGGCAUUUGGCCAAAGGGAAGUGAUUGUGCCUUCCAGGGUAGGGGAAAACCAGUUUCAAGGGGCAGAGGAGCACAUGGUCUGUCCAGAAUAUAGUACCUCGACUCUGCUGGGUGGAGAACUUAGAGAAGCAGUGCCCUGAAGGAUGUAGAAUGUAGUGAGUAAGAGGACAGAGCCACCCUGCUGUGGUGUCCAGUGCCCAGCAGCAGGUCACGCAGGAUCCCAGGGUAACGCUGCCACCUCAGGCCUGGAGAAGCUGCUCUGCCCUGGGUUCACACC
rnacentral:lncRNA from 1 species